rnacentral:rRNA from 1 species
GAUGAACGCUGACAGAAUGCUUAACACAUGCAAGUCUACUUGAACUUCGGUUUGGGUGGCGGACGGGUGAGUAACGCGUAAAGAACUUGCCUCACAGUUAGGGACAACAUUUGGAAACGAAUGCUAAUACCUGAUAUUAUGAUUUUAGGGCAUCCUAAGAUUAUGAAAGCUAUAUGCGCUGUGAGAGAGCUUUGCGUCCCAUUAGCUAGUUGGAGAGGUAACGGCUCACCAAGGCGAUGAUGGGUAGCCGGCCUGAGAGGGUGAACGGCCACAAGGGGACUGAGACACGGCCCUUACUCCUACGGGAGGCAGCAGUGGGGAAUAUUGGACAAUGGACCAAAAGUCUGAUCCAGCAAUUCUGUGUGCACGAUGACGUUUUUCGGAAUGUAAAGUGCUUUCAGUUGGGAAGAAAAAAAUGACGGUACCAACAGAAGAAGUGACGGCUAAAUACGUGCCAGCAGCCGCGGUAAUACGUAUGUCACAAGCGUUAUCCGGAUUUAUUGGGCGUAAAGCGCGUCUAGGUGGUUAUGUAAGUCUGAUGUGAAAAUGCAGGGCUCAACUCUGUAUUGCGUUGGAAACUGCAUGACUAGAGUACUGGAGAGGUAAGCAGAACUACAAGUGUAGAGGUGAAAUUCGUAGAUAUUUGUAGGAAUGCCGAUGGGGAAGCCAGCUUACUGGACAGAUACUGACGCUAAAGCGCGAAAGCGUGGGUAGCAAACAGG